CCUACGGGAGGCAGCAGUGGGGAAUAUUGCACAAUGGGGGAAACCCUGAUGCAGCGACGCCGCGUGAGUGAAGAAGUAUUUAGGUAUGUAAAGCUCUAUCAGCAGGGAAGAAGCAAGACGGUACCUGACUAAGAAGCAUCGGCUAACUACGUGCCAGCAGCCGAGGUAAUACGUAGGGGCCAAGCGUUAUCCGGAUUUACUAGGUGUAAAGGGAGCGUAGAGGGUAUGGUAAGUCUGAAGUGAAAGUCUAGGGCUUAACCGUGGGAGUGCUAUUGAAACUGUCAGACUAGAGUGCUGGAGAGGUAAGUGGAAUUCGUGGUGUAGCGGUGAAAUGCGUAGAUAUUAGGAAGAACCCCGGUGGCGAAGGCAGCUUACUGGACUGUAACUGACGUUGAGGCUCGAAAGCGUGGGGAGCAAACAGGAUUAGAUACCCCAGUAGUC
rnacentral:rRNA from 1 species